GUUCGCGUAACUCAGUGGUAGAGUGUGAGAUUGCAACGCUUAGUCACCGAUAGUGGUGUUGAGUUUAUCUCGAAGCCCCGUGUUCGAACCACGGCGCGAACU